rnacentral:rRNA from 1 species
GAUGAACGCUGGCGGCGUGCUUAACACAUGCAAGUCGAACGAAGCACUUUAUUUGAUUUCCUUCGGGACUGAUUAUUUUGUGACUGAGUGGCGGACGGGUGAGUAACGCGUGGGUAACCUGCCUUGUACAGGGGGAUAACAGUUGGAAACGGCUGCUAAUACCGCAUAAGCGCACGGCAUCGCAUGAUGCAGUGUGAAAAACUCCGGUGGUAUAAGAUGGACCCGCGUUGGAUUAGCUAGUUGGUGAGGUAACGGCCCACCAAGGCGACGAUCCAUAGCCGACCUGAGAGGGGGACCGGCCACAUUGGGACUGAGACACGGCCCAAACUCCUGCGGGAGGCAGCAGUGGGGAAUAUUGAACAAUGGGCGAAAGCCUGAGGCAGCGACGCCGCGUGAGCGAAGAAGUAUUUCGGUAUGUAAAGCUCUAUCAGCAGGGAAGAUAAUGACGGUACCUGACGAAGAAGCACCGGCUAAAUACGUG